GGGCCCUUAGCUCAGAUCGAUAGAGUGCCGCUUUCGCAUGGUGGAGGCCACGAGUUCAAAUCUCGCAGGGUCCA
rnacentral:tRNA from 1 species